AGCGAAUAAGCGCACACGGUGGAUGCCUUGGCGGUCAGAGGCGAUGAAGGACGUGGCAGCCUGCGAAAAGUAUCGGGGAGCUGGCAACAAGCUUUGAUCCGGUAAUGUCCGAAUGGGGAAACCCACCCGCUUGCGGGUAUCCUGCAGUGAAUACAUAGCUGCUGGAAGCGAACCUGGUGAACUGAAAUAUCUAAGUAACCAGAGGAAAAGAAAUCAACCGAGAUUCCGUAAGUAGCGACGAGCGAACGCGGACUAGCCCUUAAGCUGGAUUGGUUCUAGGAAAACGCUCUGGAAAGAGCGGCCAUAGAAGGUGAUAGCCCUGUAUCUGAAAGGGCCAUUCCAGUGAAGACGAGUAGGGCGGGGCACGUGAAACCCUGUCUGAACAUGGGGGGACCAUCCUCCAAGGCUAAAUACUACUGACCGACCGAUAGUGAACCAGUACCGUGAGGGAAAGGCGAAAAGAACCCCGGAGAGGGGAGUGAAAUAGAACCUGAAACCGUGUGCGUACAAGCAGUAGGAGCUCCGCAAGGAGUGACUGCGUACCUUUUGUAUAAUGGGUCAGCGACUUACUGUUCGUGGCAAGCUUAACCGUAUAGGGGAGGCGAAGGGAAACCGAGUCUGAUAAGGGCGCAUAGUCGCGGGCAGUAGACCCGAAACCGGGUGAUCUAGUCAUGCCCAGGGUGAAGGUGCGGUAACACGCACUGGAGGCCCGAACCCACUCCCGUUGCAAAGGUAGGGGAUGAGGUGUGAUUAGGAGUGAAAAGCUAAUCGAACCCGGAGAUAGCUGGUUCUCCUCGAAAGCUAUUUAGGUAGCGCCUCAUAUGUAUCCUCUCGGGGGUAGAGCACUGUUAUGGCUAGGGGGUCAUCGCGACUUACCAAACCAUUGCAAACUCCGAAUACCGAGACGGACUGUAUGGGAGACACACGGCGGGUGCUAACGUCCGUCGUGAAAAGGGAAACAACCCAGACCCACAGCUAAGGUCCCAAAUUCACUGCUAAGUGGAAAACCAUGUGGAAAGGCACAGACAGCCAGGAGGUUGGCUUAGAAGCAGCCACCCUUUAAAGAAAGCGUAAUAGCUCACUGGUCGAGUCGGUCUGCGGGGAAGAUUUAACGGGGCUAAGCAGUGAACCGAAGCUUGGGGUGCAUAACUUUGUUAUGCGCGGUAGAGGAGCGUUCCGUAAGCCGUUGAAGGUGGAUUGAGAAGUCUGCUGGAGGUAUCGGAAGUGCGAAUGCUGACAUGAGUAACGAUAAUGCGGGUGAAAAACCCGCACGCCGAAAGCCCAAGGUUUCCUUGCGCAACGUUAAUCGGCGCAGGGUGAGUCGGCCCCUAAGGCGAGGACGAAAGUCGUAGUCGAUGGGAAGCAGGUUAAUAUUCCUGCACCUCGCGUAAGUGCGAUGGAGGGACGGAGAAGGUUAGGUGUACCAGGCGUUGGUUGUCCUGGGGAAAGGCGGUAGGUUUGGAUCUUUGGCAAAUCCGGGAUCCUUUAAGACCGAGCACCGAGACGAGCCUUUAUGGCGAAGUCACUGAUACCACGCUUCCAGGAAAAGCUCCUAAGCUUCAGCUUACGCAGACCGUACCGUAAACCGACACAGGUGGGUAGGAUGAGAAUUCUCAGGCGCUUGAGAGAACUCGGGUGAAGGAACUAGGCAACAUGGCACCGUAACUUCGGGAGAAGGUGCACCCUUUUUGGUGGCUCGUGCGAGCUAUAGCUGAAGAGGGUCGCAGUAACCAGGCCGCUGCGACUGUUUAUCAAAAACACAGCACUCUGCAAACACGAAAGUGGACGUAUAGGGUGUGACGCCUGCCCGGUGCUGGAAGGUUAAUUGAUGGGGUCAGCCGCAAGGCGAAGCUCUUGAUCGAAGCCCCAGUAAACGGCGGCCGUAACAAUAACGGUCCUAAGGUAGCGAAAUUCCUUGUCGGGUAAGUUCCGACCUGCACGAAUGGCGUAACGACAGCGGCGCUGUCUCCACCCGAGACUCAGUGAAAUUGAAAUCGCUGUGAAGAUGCAGCGUUCCCGUGGCAAGACGGAAAGACCCCGUGAACCUUUA
rnacentral:rRNA from 1 species